GGUAGCGUGUCCGAGCGGCCGAAGGAACGCGUCUUGAAAACGCGCGAGGUCUAAAAAGCCUCCGUGGGUUCGAAUCCCACCGCUACCG
rnacentral:tRNA from 1 species